UUCUUCGGGGCAGGGCGAAAUUCCCUACCGGCGGUAAAGUCCGCGACCCGCCAUUGGCGGCUGAUUUGGUGAGAUUCCAAAACCGACAGUUACAGUCUGGAUGAGAGAAGA
rnacentral:ncRNA from 1 species